rnacentral:tRNA from 1 species
UGGGCUAUGGUGUAAUGGUAGUCACACAAGAUUUUGAUUCUUGGAGUCCAGGUUCGAGUCCUGGUAGCCCAA